AGCCUCGGCAGGUCCGGCGGGGAGAAAUAGCCGAGGGCUUCGGCGCCCCGCAAGCCCGCGGGGUGAGGCCAGGCUUUGGUGGCUGUGCUGCUCGGUGGAGGAGGCGGUUGUGCCCGGCUCAAGGGCAAACGAAGUGGCUUUCCUCAGAAAAACCCGCGGGCAGGGCUCUGUGGGGGGGGUCUCGACCCAGCACCUGCCUGCUUUGCCCUUCAUAGGUCCAGUGACAAGCUGCCCGCAGCCCUUGGGUUGCUUGGGGGCUGUGUUGGUGGAGGGGAGGCCUGGGGGGCUGCAGCCCCUCUGUCGGGGUCACCCCACGUCCCCCCUGCCACCCCGACCCCUUCCUCGCUUCCCACAAGGGUCCUGUAGUUACACAACCCCGCAUCCCUCUGUUUGGCUGUAGAGAGCAAGCCUCUCGCAAACUCUGCAAUGGAGAAAAUGUCACGUUCCCCGCAGAUGUUUCUGCUGUCCUCUAACUUGAUGAAACUGCCUCUGAAAUAUAACGAGCUGUUUCCUCCCCUCAGAUAAAUUAGGUCCAUAUAUCUUCUGGGACAAAGAGACGAUCUUCCAGUGUGUUCAUGUAGGUCCAAUACCACUGAGUACUCAAGCACAUACUCUGAUUACAAGCUCUUCCAUGAGAAACACCUGGAAGAACAUCCACUUGCAGGGGCUGCCCUUUUCUUCCCCAGAAGCAGUUGAGUGCUCCUGCUGAAUCUAAUUCACUUGGUUGUUUUUCGUACCUUUGCCCUGCAAGCUGUUCUGCAUGGGCAGUGGAAUAUUAUUGCAGCACGCGGCGCAUCGUGAUGCAGCUCAUCAGCGCGGUGAGCGCGGCGGAGGAGACGUCUCAGCAGACGGAUCCUGAGCGAAGCAGGCACCUCUUCCCGCACCGCUCGGGGUGUGCAAAGCGUCACGUCGAGCCCACCCCGCCAGCCACCACGAGCGAAUGCAGGAUUUUCGUGUCUGGUGCCAUGUCUCCUAGCAACAUUGCUAGGCAGCACGCUAUACAUCACGCGCGGCGCCGGCUACUACAGUAUAGCGGGGCCGUUCCCAGCUCUUUUUCUCGGCUAUAAAAUAUUAAUUUUCUGCUCGCAAAGGGGAGGCGGCACCUGUGGGUCGAGAGGUGUUCCCUCCCGGGUGGACGCGUGCAGCUCCGUUGGCUGUCACGGGAAUCACGAGCAGCCCCAGGCUGGGCUGAGCUCCUGAUCAAAAAAAGAGAGUCUGAUUCUGAUCUCACCCCCAUGAAAAUCACAGAUAAUUUAGUUACAACCAAUGGAGCUGCAGUGCCC